UACCCUUACCCUGGGGUAGAGAGGCUGUUUCCAAAUAAACCUCUGGCAUCCUUCCCUCCAAGAACUUCCCACCUUGCUCUUGGGGAGACUCGAACCCACAACCUCUCUUUUCAAAUUGAUACAAUUUUCCAUAAAAUACACACCCAAAUUAGAACCUUUUUUUAACAAGGGAAUACGUAGCCACUAUCCUUUCGGAGUGCGUAUAAGGUAAAGUUCCCUCCUGUAUAACCUGUCUAGCACGUCCAAACAGUGGCAAUUAAAUACCCAAUUUUAGGGGCGUCAAAAUAGUGAGGCAUAAAAUAAAGUACGGAAAAGGGUCAGAACUGCCCCUAACGUAUUGACGCCAGUUUAAAAAUGCCAUCCGUUAACCUAUUUUGGAAAAAAUGCCCCUACCGUUAAAAUUCUGGCAUUUUUUGCCCCUAACGUAUUAACUCCAAUUUAAAAAUGCCCCUACCGUUAACCUAUUUUGAAAAAAAUGCCCCUAACGUUUUAAAUAUAAGUACAGUCAGUUGUUAGACUGGUCAUACCGUUAAAAUUCUGGCAUAUUUAUGCCCCUAACGUAUCGACUCCAGUUUAAAAAUGCCUCUAUCGUUAACCUAUUUUGAAAAAAAUGCUCCUACCAUUUUAAAUAUAAGUACAAUCAGUUGUUAGACUUAGGGGCACAAAUAUGCCAAAUUUUUAACUGUAGGGGCAUUUUUUUCAAUAUAGGUAUAUAUACUAUUUAUUGUAAUUUUAAUUAAUAUUUUCACAUAAACUUAGUAGGGGCAUUUUUUUCAAAAUAGGUUAACGGAGGACAUUUUUAAACUGGAGUCAAUACGUUAGGGGCAGGUCUGACCCUUUUCCCAAUAAAGUAUACCCUUAGGGUGCGGCAGAAUCCUGUAUGAACGUGAAAUAUUUUGUACACCAAACUGUCAUUUAAAUAAAUGAUUUAUUUAUUGAUGUGUCAACGUAGACAUAUUCCAAAUUAACAACUUAUUUUAAUGAUCGUUAUGUAUCGUUUCAUAAUAUAUCGUAUCAUAUUGUGUAGUAUUUUGCUGUACCGUUUUGAUUUAUACAAUUUUGAAUAAAGUAUAUUGUUUGUCAUCGUUUCAUCAUGUCAUGCACCAACAAAUGAAUAAUAAACUUGCAAUAUUACAAAGAAAAAUAUAAGAUACAAGGUAAGAUUAUUAUAUAAAAAGGUAUGAUAAAGGAAUAAAUAUGAUUUAAUAAAGGCAAAAUGCAUAAAUUACCCCCUAAACAAUGGACCAAAUUCCUAUAACACACUUCUUGCGGACAAAAAUUACCUUAUAAACACAAAGUGUGCCUAAUACACACUAUUUUUUUCUUGAUCAAUUUUUCAAAACAUGUGUAAUUUCACGUUACAAUCAGAUAGUGUCACAAUCGGGAAUUCUCACAUUCGGAACCAUGAUGGCGCCUAACAUUUCACUUGCUAGGCAAGCCAACAUUAGAGGACCUUUAAUUCAAUUUUAAUCAAUUCCAAUAAGUACAAUCAAUUAAGCCGAAAUGAAACUAAAACUGAGUGCGGAAUAACAUAAAACCAUUAACAACUAAGUACAACCUGGAUCUUGUGUCACAAUUCAUGAGUUUCUAGAGUUUUUACAAACAGAGUCUGAAAUUAGUUAAUUGUCUCGAAUGAAAAGAGCAGUAAACAUGGGAGAUGAAUGAGACUACAAGGUAUGCGGAUGCUAGCAGAUCUACCUCGAGUCUCCAAGUCAUCUAAUCCAAGCUAAUGUACUUCACGGGCAACUGGGACUAGUACCAAAAUCUGCACAAGAAGUGCAGAGUGUAGUAUGAGUACAAUCCACCCUUUCCAUUCCAUAAGUGUCGAGCCCAACCUCGACAAGGUAGUGAUGAGGCUAUGACACCCACAUAAAUAAAUCUGUGCAAAUAACAAUAUACGUACAACAUAAUAACAAGACCAAAUGAUCUUCUGUCCACUUAAACUUGCUUUCAUUUAUAAAGCCGAUGCACAAACUUAUAUCGUUCCAAUUUGAACACUCAAACUCAUGUAUUUGGUAACUAAUAAACCUAUUUGACCGUUGACUAUGCACAUGUGGCAGUGGUAGAGGUGAUGUGGACAAAGAGUGUGCAAGUCACGUAAAUUAAGCGCGUGUUUACUGUUAUUUUGAUUUUUAAAAAUCUAAAAUCAAAAACAAAAUUGCAAAUAAAAAAGUAAGAAAAUAGGCCCCCCACCCCACCUUACCCUCAGCCAAACUAGUAAUACAAUUAUUCCCCUAACCUCUUCCUGUUUCUUUUCCCCUUUCCCCAUUGUUGUCUACCCCACACCUCCCUCUUCUUUUCUUUCUCCCUUACUCAAAUCUUUCCCCCGCAUCUUUCUCUUUUUGUUUCAAACCCAGCGUAGUGAAAAACAAAGAAAAGAAAUGAAUUUUGUCAAAAAAAAAUUUGUCAAUCCUUUCUCUCACAUUAACUCUCUCUUUGUUUUUUUAUCCAUCUCAGACUAUAAGAUAGAUAGAGAAAUGAGAAACGCCAUCGGAAAAUUGUCUAGUUUUAGCAUCACAACGAUCACAGUUUAACAUUUACUUGUAUGCUCGACACCAAUGUAUAGAUACUCGUUACCACACCUAUACAGCGUACUCACCCUAACAUGUAAUAAAUAUGACACAACACCUAUUCCCUCAAGCUAAGGUUAGACCAAACACUUACCUCGUUUACAUGGUCAAAAAUCAAGCCUCAAUUACUGCUUUACCUCUCGGUUCCACUUCUCAUCCGCUUGUAUCUAGUCAUAAUUUACGUAAUAACAUCAAUAAAUGCUAAAUAAACCAAUUUUAAUGCAUAAAUAUAGAUUUCAUAAUAUUUUCUCCAAAAAAUUCAAAAAUCGACCCUGGGCCCACGUGGUCAAAACUCGAAGUUCGAACCAAAACACGACUACUCAUUCACCCAUGAACCCAAAUAUUCAAUUGGUUUUGAAAUCCGACCUCUAAUUGAGAUCUAAAUCCCCAAAAAUUUAAAAUUCUAAUUUUUACCCAAGAACACCCAAUUUCCUAUGAAAAACCCCAGAUUUUGAAGUGAAAUUAUAUAAAAAGAUGAAAUAGAUUGAAAGAAAAAGAGUUAAGAAUCAUUUACCUAUGAUUUGGGGAAGGACUUGCUCUAGGAAAAUCGACGUUUGGAGUUUAGGCUUUGAAAUUUUCAAGAAUAAAGUGAAAAUCCAGUCUAAGUACAAACAUAUCAGUUGCAGAUGUCAUAACUGCAACUGGAGCUUCGCAUUUGCGAAGAUCGCAAAUGCGAGAAAGGUAUCGCAAUUGCGAACCUUCCGCAUCUCUGCCGCUAUCGUAAAUGCGAGCAUUUGGUCGCAAAUGCGGAGUCCCCCCUGCCCUGGUGACUUCGCAAUUGCGAAGAAGAUGCUCGCAAAUGCGAACUAGGCUGGCCAGGGCUUCUUCGCAAUUGCGAUAAAAACCCUCCCAAUUACCAAGUCUGACAGGCUCGCAAUUGCCAACUCUGACCUCGCAAUUGCAAGAUCAGAGCCUGCAAUAAAAAUACCAUCUGCAACAGAAAUCUUCUAAGUCCAAACUCACUUCGUGGCCUAUCCAAAACUCACUCGAGCCCUCGGGCUCAAAAACGAACAUGCACACAAGUCUAAUAAUAUUAUACAGACUUGCCCAUACGAUCAAAUUGCGAAAAUAACAUCAACAACUACGAAUUUAACCGCAAACUCAUGAUUUUCUUCAAGAACAUUUUAAAUUUACUAUUUUCACAACCGGACGUCCAAAUCACGUCAAUUCAACUACGAUUCUUAUCAAAUUUCACAGAUACAACUUAAAUAUUAUAUUAAACCUGUACCGGACCCCGGAACCAAAAUAUGAGACCUGAUACCAUCAAAAUCACACACCAUUUCUUUUCCAAAAAUCCUCAUAUUUUCCAGCAAAUAGUUUUCUUUAAAAAUUCUUUUCUCGAGCAAGGGACCUCGAAAAUCGAUUCCAGACAUAUGCUCACGUCCCAUAAUUUACUACGGACCAUACGAGACCGUCAAGUCACGGGUCCGGGUCCGUUUACCAAAAAUAUUGAUUAAAGUCAACUUCAAUUAAUUUUUAAAGGUAAUUUCAACGGUUUUCUUAUAUUUCACAUAAAAAAAAAUUCGGAAACGCGUCCGGACUGCUCACGCAAAUCGAGAAAAAGAAAAAUGAGGUUUUCAAAGUUUUGGGACCGGGAUUCAAAUUCUAAAACACAAGAUGACCCUUUGGGUCAUCACAGGCACAAGCUCUAGUAUUCUAUCUAGUGUGUCAUUUGGUGAUUAAAUCGCAAAGAAUAAACUUCCUCGCAUUGCUUACAUUGCAUCGACUCAUACUUAUUCUCUGCAAAUUUUAUAUUUAUGUUUGAUUGAACAUGAAUUGAGGAUCUAUAAAUAGUUGUGCUAUCCUUUACUAAUAGAUAAGAGUCACAAAGAUAAGAGAGAUGCGAUAAUAAGAAGUUUAAUCCGGAGAUGAGUUUGAGCCCACUGUCAUUGAUGAAGUGAGGAUAGGAACAUUCGACAGCUCUUUCACCCUGAACAGCUCAUAAGUGGCAAGGAAGAUGCAGCCAACUACUUUGCCCUUGUCACUAUACCAUUGGGAAAGAGAUUGUUGAUCUUUGCUUGGAUCGCAUCCGAAAGCUUGCAGACAACUGUACUGGUCUUCAAGGGUUCCUGGUCUUCAAUGCUGUUGGUGGUGGUACUGGUUCAGGUCUGGGGUCGCUUCUUCUGGAGCGUCUCUCUGUUGACUACGGAAAGAAGUCAAAACUUGGUUUCACAAUUUACCCUUCACCACAGGUCUCAACUUCUGUUGUUGAGCCUUACAACAGUGUCCUCUCAACUCAUUCCCUCCUUGAGCACACUGAUGUUUCCAUCCUUCUGGACAACGAAGCCAUUUAUGACAUUUGCAGGCGCUCACUGGACAUUGAGCGCCCUACUUACACCAACCUUAACCGCCUUAUCUCACUUGAUGUUUCCAUCCUUCUGGACAAUGAAGCCAUUUAUGACAUUUACAGGCGCUCACUGGACAUUGAGCGCCUUACUUACACCAACCUUAACCGCCUUAUCUCACAGGUUAUCUCCUCACUCACAGCAUCUUUGAGGUUUGAUGGUUCUUUAAAUGUUGAUGUGAACGAAUUCCAGACCAAUCUUGUGCCAUAUCCCAGGAUCCAUUUUAUGC
rnacentral:lncRNA from 1 species